rnacentral:siRNA from 1 species
CUACCAGUGGAUCCAAUAAUGUUU